UGGGGAAUAUUGGGCAAUGGGCGAAAGCCUGACCCAGCGACGCCGCGUGGGGGAUGAAGGUCUUCGGAUCGUAAACCCCUGUCGGGGGGGACGAACGCGUCACGGUGAACAGCCGCGACGCCUGACGGUACCUCCAAAGGAAGCCCCGGCUAACUCCGUGCCAGCAGCCGCGGUAAUACGGAGGGGGCAAGCGUUAUUCGGAAUUACUGGGCGUAAAGCGCGCGCAGGUGGCUUGGUAAGUGGCAGGUGAAAUCCCUUGGCUCAACCGAGGAACUGCCUGCCAAACUGCUGAGCUUGAGGCUGGGAGGGGAGAGCGGAAUUCCUGGUGUAGCGGUGAAAUGCGUAGAUACCAGGAGGAACACCGGUGGCGAAGGCGGCUCUCUGGACCAGUUCUGACACUCACGCGCGAAAGCGUGGGGAGCAAACAG
rnacentral:rRNA from 1 species